rnacentral:rRNA from 1 species
CCUACGGGUGGCAGCAGUGGGGGAUAUUGCACAAUGGGGGAAACCCUGAUGCAGCGACGUCGCGUGGGUGAAGACGCGCCUCGGCGCGUAAAGCCCUGUCAGCAGGGAAGAAAAUGACGGUACCUGAAGAAGAAGCCCCGGCUAACUACGUGCCAGCAGCCGCGGUAAUACGUAGGGGGCAAGCGGUAUCCGGAUUUACUGGGUGUAAAGGGGGCGCAGACGGGGAUGCAAGCCAGGAGGGAAAGUCUGGGGCCCAACCCCGGGACUGCCGUUGGCACUGCGUGGCUGGAGUGCAGGAGAGGUAGGCGGAAUGCGUGGUGUAGCGGUGAAAUGCGUAGAUAUCAGGAAGAACACCGAUGGCGAAGGCAGCCUGCUGGACUGCGACUGACGUUGAGGCCCGAAAGCGUGGGGAGCAAACAGGAUUAGAUACCCGUGUAGUC